GCGUAAAUGGUUUAGUGGUAAAAUCCAUCGUUGCCAUCCCACUUACAGUGAACAAUGCCUCGAUGGGCCCCCGGUUCGAUUCCGGGUUUACGCA